CAAUAGAUACCCGGGUAGUCCACGCCGUAAAACGAUGAGUGCUAAGUGUUAGGGGGUUUCCGCCCCCUUAGUGCUGCAGCUAACGCAUUAAGCACUCCGCCUGGGGAGUACGGUCGCAAGACUGAAACUCAAAGGAAUUGACGGGGGCCCGCACAAGCGGUGGAGCAUGUGGUUUAAUUCGAAGCAACGCGAAGAACCUUACCAGGUCUUGACAUCCCAUUGACCACUAUGGAGACAUAGUUUUCCCUUCGGGGACAACGGUGACAGGUGGUGCAUGGUUGUCGUCAGCUCGUGCCGUGAGAUGUUGGGUUAAGUCCCGCAACGAGCGCAACCCUUGUUCUUAGUUGCCAUCAUUUAGUUGGGCACUCUAAGGAGACUGCCGGUGACAAACCGGAGGAAGGUGGGGAUGAACGUCAAAGUCAUCAUGCCCCUUAUGACCUGGGCUACACACGUGCUACAAUGGACGGUACAAACGGUUGCCAACCCGCGAGGGGGUAGCUAAUCCGAUAAAACCGUUCUCAGUUCGGAUUGUAGGCUGCAACUCGCCUACAUGAAGGACC
rnacentral:rRNA from 1 species